GACGAACGCUGGCGGCGUGCUUAACACAUGCAAGUCGAACGGAAAGGCCCUGCUUUUGUGGGGUGCUCGAGUGGCGAACGGGUGAGUAACACGUGAGUAACCUGCCCUUGACUUUGGGAUAACUUCAGGAAACUGGGGCUAAUACCGGAUAGGAGCUCCUGCUGCAGGGUGGGGGUUGGAAAGUUUCGGCGGUUGGGGAUGGACUCGCGGCUUAUCAGCUUGUUGGUGGGGUAGUGGCUUACCAAGGCUUUGACGGGUAGCCGGCCUGAGAGGGUGACCGGCCACAAUAGGACUGAGGUACGGACCAGACUCCAACGGGGGACAGCAGUGGGGAGUAUGGCACAAUGAGCGGGAGCCUGAUACGGCAGCGCCCCGUGCGGAAUGACGGCCUUCGGGUUAUGAACCGCUUUCGCCUGAGACGAAGCGUGGGUGACGGUAAUGGAUAAAGAAGCACCGGCUAACUACGUG
rnacentral:rRNA from 1 species